rnacentral:rRNA from 1 species
AGUGAACGCUGGCGGCAGGCCUAACACAUGCAAGUCGAGCGGCAGCGGGUCCUUCUGGAUGCCGGCUGGCGGCGGACGGGUGGGGAAGACAUCUGUAUCUGCCCUCUCGUUGGGGAUAAACUAGGGAAACUUAGGCUAAUUCCUCAUACGUCCUACGGGUGAAAGCGGGGGAUCGCAAGACCUCGCGCUUCACGAUGAGCCUAUGUGCGAUUAGCUAGUUGGCGGGGUAAAGGCUCACCAAGGCGACGAUCGGUAGCUGGUCUGAGAGGAUGAUCAGCCACACUGGGACUGAGACACGGCCCAGACUCCUACGGGAGGCAGCAGUGGGGAAUAUUGGACAAAGGGCGCAAGCCUGAUCCAGCCAUGCCGCGUGGGUGAAGAAGGCCUUCGGGUUGUAAAGCACUUUUGGCCGGGAGGAAGUCAACUGGGCUAAUACCCCUGGCGGAUGACGGUACCGGAAGAAUAAGCACCGGCUAACUUCGUG